AUUCAACUGACGAGUUCCACAAGGGACGAAAUGUCUAUCCUGAAU
rnacentral:hammerhead_ribozyme from 1 species